rnacentral:rRNA from 1 species
GUGAGGAAUAUUGCGCAAUGGAGGCAACUCUGACGCAGCCAUGCCGCGUGCAGGAAGAAGGCGCUACGCGUUGUAAACUGCUUUUAACCGGGAAGAAACCCCAGGACGUGUCCUGGGUUGACGGUACCGGAGGAAUAAGCACCGGCUAACUUCGUGCCAGCAGCCGCGGUAAUACGAAGGGUGCAAGCGUUAUCCGGAUUCAUUGGGUUUAAAGGGUGCGUAGGCGGAGCGUUAAGUCAGUGGUGAAAUCCUGCAGCUUAACUGUAGACUUGCCAUUGAUACUGGCCCUCUUGAGUGCGCUUGAAGUGGGCGGAAUGUGCCGUGUAGCGGUGAAAUGCUUAGAUAUGACACAGAACACCAAUUGCGAAGGCAGCUCACUAAGGCGAUACUGACGCUGAGGCACGAAAGCGUGGGGAUCGAACAGGAUUAGAAACCCGGGUAGUCC